GGGACACGUGGUAUCCUGUCUGAAUAUGGGGGGACCAUCCUCCAAGGCUAAAUACUCCUGACUGACCGAUAGUGAACCAGUACCGUGAGGGAAAGGCGAAAAGAACCCCGGCGAGGGGAGUGAAAAAGAACCUGAAACCGUGUACGUACAAGCAGUGGGAGCACGCUUAGGCGUGUGACUGCGUACCUUUUGUAUAAUGGGUCAGCGACUUAUAUUCUGUAGCAAGGUUAACCGAAUAGGGGAGCCGAAGGGAAACCGAGUCUUAACUGGGCGUUAAGUUGCAGGGUAUAGACCCGAAACCCGGUGAUCUAGCCAUGGGCAGGUUGAAGGUUGGGUAACACUAACUGGAGGACCGAACCGACUAAUGUUGAAAAAUUAGCGGAUGACUUGUGGCUGGGGGUGAAAGGCCAAUCAAACCGGGAGAUAGCUGGUUCUCCCCGAAAGCUAUUUAGGUAGCGCCUCGUGAAUUCAUCUCCGGGGGUAGAGCACUGUUUCGGCAAGGGGGUCAUCCCGACUUACCAACCCGAUGCAAACUGCGAAUACCGGAGAAUGUUAUCACGGGAGACACACGGCGGGUGCUAACGUCCGUCGUGAAGAGGGAAACAACCCAGACCGCCAGCUAAGGUCCCAAAGUCAUGGUUAAGUGGGAAACGAUGUGGGAAGGCCCAGACAGCCAGGAUGUUGGCUUAGAAGCAGCCAUCAUUUAAAGAAAGCGUAAUAGCUCACUGGUCGAGUCGGCCUGCGCGGAAGAUGUAACGGGGCUAAACCAUGCACCGAAGCUGCGGCAGCGACGCUUAUGCGUUGUUGGGUAGGGGAGCGUUCUGUAAGCCUGUGAAGGUGUGCUGUGAGGCAUGCUGGAGGUAUCAGAAGUGCGAAUGCUGACAUAAGUAACGAUAAAGCGGGUGAAAAGCCCGCUCGCCGGAAGACCAAGGGUUCCUGUCCAACGUUAAUCGGGGCAGGGUGAGUCGACCCCUAAGGCGAGGCCGAAAGGCGUAGUCGAUGGGAAACAGGUUAAUAUUCCUGUACUUGGUGUUACUGCGAAGGGGGGACGGAGAAGGCUAUGUUGGCCGGGCGACGGUUGUCCCGGUUUAAGCGUGUAGGCUGGUUUUCCAGGCAAAUCCGGAAAAUCAAGGCUGAGGCGUGAUGACGAGGCACUACGGUGCUGAAGCAACAAAUGCCCUGCUU
rnacentral:rRNA from 1 species